AGAACGAACGCUGGCGGCAUGCCUAAUACAUGCAAGUCGAACGAACACUUCGGUGUUAGUGGCGCACGGGUGCGUAACGCGUGGGAAUCUGCCCUUGGGUUCGGAAUAACAGUUGGAAACGACUGCUAAUACCGGAUGAUAUCGAAAGAUCAAAGAUUUAUCGCCCAGGGAUGAGCCCGCGUAGGAUUAGCUAGUUGGUGAGGUAAAGGCUCACCAAGGCGACGAUCCUUAGCUGGUCUGAGAGGAUGAUCAGCCACACUGGGACUGAGACACGGCCCAGACUCCUACGGGAGGCAGCAGUAGGGAAUAUGGACAAUGGGCGCAAGCCUGAUCCAGCAAUGCCGCGUGAGUGAUGAAGGCCUUAGGGUUGUAAAGCUUACGUUUUACCCGAGUAUAGAAUAAGUGACUAAGUAGUACGGGAAGAAGUUAACGCCCCGGUACUAACGUCCGUAG
rnacentral:rRNA from 1 species